rnacentral:rRNA from 1 species
UGGGGAAUAUUGCGCAAUGGGCGAAAGCCUGACGCAGCAACGCCGCGUGAGUGAUGAAGGCCUUCGGGUCGUAAAGCUCUGUCGGAGGGAACGAAUGCUCCUGAAGUUAACAGCCUCAGGAGGUGACGGUACCCUCAAAGGAAGCACCGGCUAACUCUGUGCCAGCAGCCGCGGUAAUACGUAGGGACCAAGCGUUGUUCGGAUUUACUGGGCGUAAAGGGCGCGUAGGCGGCAAUUCAAGUCAUCUGUGAAAUCUCCGGGCUUAACUCGGAACGGUCAGAUGAUACUGCUUUGCUAGAGUGCAGAAGGGGCAAUCGGAAUUCUUGGUGUAGCGGUGAAAUGCGUAGAUAUCAAGAGGAACACCUGAGGUGAAGACGGGUUGCUGGGCUGACACUGACGCUGAGGCGCGAAAGCCAGGGGAGCAAACGGGAUUAGAUACCCCAGUAGUCCCUGAGCGGGCUGGCAAGGCGCAU